rnacentral:rRNA from 1 species
GACGAACGCUGGCGGCGUGCUUAACACAUGCAAGUCGAACGGAAUGGCCCUGCUUGCAGGGUGCUCGAGUGGCGAACGGGUGAGUAACACGUGGGUGAUCUGCCCCUUACUUUGGGAUAAGCCUGGGAAACUGGGUCUAAUACUGGAUAGGACCAUGCUGUAGGUGGUGUGGUGGAAAGAUUAGUUUCGGUAAGGGAUGAGCUCGCGGCCUAUCAGCUUGUUGGUGGGGUAAUGGCCUACCAAGGCGUCGACGGGUAGCCGGCCUGAGAGGGUGGACGGCCACAUUGGGACUGAGAUACGGCCCAGACUCCUACGGGAGGCAGCAGUGGGGAAUAUUGCACAAUGGGCGCAAGCCUGAUGCAGCGACGCCGCGUGGGGGAUGACGGCCUUCGGGUUGUAAACUCCUUUCAGCCAUGACGAAGCCCUUGUGGUGACGGUAGUGGUAGAAGAAGCACCGGCUAACUACGUG